GGAUUGGGGAAUGUAUUAGAGAACACACUACAAAUCCCACUCCUCUUCGCCUCCAUGUUGCAGAAUCAUGGGAUUUGCAGUCUUCUGAAAGUGGGAUGCCUUUCUUACUUCUGAUUUUCAGGGCAUAUCGAAGUCCUUAUUCCCUUCUCCGGCUUCAUCCCCUUCGGGGCUCAAACGGAUCUCAACAGCUUGUCGGAAGCGAGGCUCGUACAUCUCUACUGUCUCCUCACCUCUUCAAUUAGUGAAUUGAACACAACUGUCAAUGCUGACCCAUAAGUGUGCUUAGACGUGGGACGGAGAGGCCUCGGCGGCCCGGGGAAAUGGGUUUCGGAGCAAGACAACAUGGCUGAAGACUCUCUGGUCCUGAGGCAUCUUCCUCGGCCGUUCCAGGAGGCAAAGAGCCGCGAUUCAUCUGGCCGACAGAAGCCCGUCGUCGCUGCCGGCAAGACAAAUGCAACGCCGUUUGCUUUGAGCCCCAUGCCAGCAAAGCGUUUUUGCCAGAGGCUCUCUGUGGCUAGAGAGCGCAGUGAUGUGAAAACAAUUGGCAAGGAGUAGGCGGAGUGCUGCUCGCUUGCAUGUGUUUGUUGAUUUAUGGAGAUCCUGUGGAUCCCGUAGGGUACGGGUGUGCGAAACCACAGAAAUCUGUCCGGUUUUUGGUCUGUUUUCAUUCCGAAUUCCGGGUCACCCACCCUCCCUUUCCUGCAUUUUUCCGAAAUGGAAACAGAAUUCCGGAUUCCGGAUUAUGCGUCCGAACAGCCCCCCUCCUACCGGUAAUCUCCAGGAAUCUUCCCGAAAACAACGAAAACAGAACCGAUUUCUGCCAUUUUGCACACACCUACCGUAGGGUUUCUUAGUGGUGGUUUUUGGAAGAAAAAAGAAACAUCAAAUAGAAGUUGCACCCGGGGAUUUCUCUACAUUAUUAACCACCUGGAAGGUGUCCAGAGAAAGAGGGCGACUCAAAGGACCAAAGGUCUGGAGACCACGAAUAAUCCCUAUGAGGAGCGUCUUAAAGAACUGGUCUCUUUAGUCUUCAGAAGAGAAGGUGGAGAGGAGACGUGAUCGUCAUGUAUAAAUAUUUGAAAGGAAGAGGGAGGAGGCUUGUUUCCUUCUGUCAAUGGAGUCAGGAGAUUCCACCUAGACAUCAGGAAGAAUUUCUUGAGCAUGCGAGCUGUUCAGCAGCGGAACUCUCUGCCUCAGAGACCGGUGGAAGCUCCUUUCUUGGAGGCUUUUAAGCAGAGGCCGAGUGGCCAUCUGUCAGGGAUACUUUGAUGGUUCUUUUCCUGCAUGGAAAACAGGGUUUUAACUAGAUGCCCCAUGUGGUCUCUUCCAACUCGUUUCGGUUGUCGCCAGAUGUUUCCGAAGCACAGGUUUGGUGUCACAGCCUUCCGAGCGCCUUGCUAAGCGGGUGGCAAAGUGGCCUCUUCACUCGCAAGAGGGAAGGAGAGAGAAGACGCACUCGAGAUGUGACACCCAACGUCGGCAGUGGCAAGCUUGUAGAGAGAUAAUUAAAAGGGUGUUUUUCCCGCCUGCUUGCAAAGUGAAUGCAUCCGUCGUCGUCGAGAAGGUGGCGGAGAGCGUGAACAGCAUUGUGCAGAAAGGAACCGGGAUCGAGGGGGAUAAAAGGCAGAGCUGAAAGGGAAAGCAGCAGACACACCUGGAAUCACCCUGUCUGGGGACCACCAUUGAAAGGAGAUGUCGACUCUAUGAUGGAAUGUGAUGCAAAGGAUCAAGGAUCUGGAGAACAAGCCCUAUGAGGAGUGGCUUAAAGAGCUGGGUAUGUUUUGCCUUCAGAAGAGAAGGCUGAGAGGAGACGUGAUGAAGGCCAUGGAUCAAGACGUGAGGGGAAGAAGUUAGGAUGCAAUGGAACAACGGCUUCAAAAUUCAGGAAAGAAGAAGAUUCUAUUGCGCCAAAAUGCUAAUGUGUAUGUGUGUGUGUAAAAGAAAUCCCUUGAAAGAAAACCUUUGCAAAAGAUCUCUGCAAGAAAAGAGCUCAGCUUUUGCAGGAGCUAAGCCACGCCUAAAACAAUGUAUCGUUUUGAGAGCAGGUGGCUGAGAUUGUCAGUUGGAAUUUGAGCUUGCUAGAGAGAGGACACAAGAAGACUGGCUCUCUGAAUAGCUACGGUCAAGUAGCUGUUUUGAACAUGCUAUGCUGUAUAUAUAUUGAAUGCUGAUUUAUUAGUUAUUUAUGCAACUACAAGGACAUUGUAAGAUUGCUGAACUGUUUUAUUUGACUUCAACUCUACAAGUAAAGUUUCCUUUGUUCUGUUCAA